UAAGGAAUAUUGGACAAUGGAGGCAACUCUGAUCCAGCCAUGCCGCGUGAAGGAAUAAGGCCCUAUGGGUUGUAAACUUCUUUUAGACGGGACAAAACCCCUUUACGUGUAAAGGGUUGAUGGUACUGUCAGAAUAAGCAUCGGCUAACUUCGUGCCAGCAGCCGCGGUAAUACGGAGGGUGCAAGCGUUAUCCGGAUUCACUGGGUUUAAAGGGUGCGUAGGUGGGCAGAUAAGUCAGUGGUGAAAUCUUCCGGCUUAACCGGGAAACUGCCGUUGAUAUUAUUUGUCUUGAAUAUUGCGGAGGUAAGCGGAAUAUGUCAUGUAGCGGUGAAAUGCUUAGAUAUGACAUAGAACACCAAUUGCGAAGGCAGCUUACUACACAAUCAUUGACACUGAGGCACGAAAGCGUGGGUAGCGAACA
rnacentral:rRNA from 1 species